rnacentral:rRNA from 1 species
CUACGGGUUGCUGCAGUGGGGAAUAUUGCACAAUGGAGGAAACUCUGAUGCAGCAACGCCGCGUGGAGGAUGACACUUUUCGGAGCGUAAACUCCUUUUAUAUAGGAAGAAGAUGACGGUACUAUAUGAAUAAGCGCCGGCUAACUCCGUGCCAGCAGCCGCGGUAAUACGGAGGGCGCAAGCGUUACUUGGAAUCACUGGGCGUAAAGAGCGUGUAGGCGGAUUAAAAAGUCAGAAGUGAAAUCCUAUAGCUUAACUAUAGAACUGCUUCUGAAACUCUUAAUCUAGAAUAUGGGAGAGGUAGAUGGAAUUGCUGGUGUAGGGGUAAAAUCCGUAGAGAUCAGAAGGAAUACCGAUUGCGAAGGCGAUCUACUAGAACAUUAUUGACGCUGAGACGCGAAAGCGCGGGGAGCAAACAGGAUUAGAUACCCCAGUAGUC